AGCGUGCAGAUCUUGGCACUUGUAGAAUUCACUGAUACUUGAAUAUUUAAUCUCAGUGAAUCUAUAGUGGCAACCGCGGCACGCU
rnacentral:pre_miRNA from 1 species